rnacentral:snoRNA from 1 species
AUCAUUUUGAUUGUAGUUCAUAAGCAUAGUAAUUGGGUGUUCACACUAUUGUUGUGCUUCCCUCAUAUCUGUUAUGAGGUCAACACGGGACCCAUCUCAUG